CCCUUAGAUGUUCUGGGCCGCACGCGCGCUACACUGAUGCAUUCAACGAGUCUAAAACCUGCUCUGAUAGGGGUGGGUAAUCUUUUGAAUGUGCAUCGUGAUUGGGAUAGAUGAUUGCAAUUUUCCAUCUUCAACGAGGAAUGCCUAGUAAACGCAAGUCAUCAGCUUGCAUUGAUUACGUCCCUGCCCUUUGUACACACCGCCCGUCGCUCCUACCGAUUGAAUGAUCCGAUGAAUAUCAUGGAUUGAGGAUUAUAGCAGGUUCGCCUGUCUUGAUCUUCGAGAAGUGAAGUAAAUCUUAUCAUUUAGAGGAAGGAGAAGUCGUAACA
rnacentral:rRNA from 1 species